UGGGGGAUAUUGCACAAUGGGCGAAAGCCUGAUGCAGCGACGCCGCGUGGGGGAUGAAGGCUUUCGGGUUGUAAACCUCUUUCGCUAUCGAACAAGGCCCGCUUAGGGUGGGUUGAGGGUAGGUGGAGAAGAAGCGCCGGCUAACUACGUGCCAGCAGCCGCGGUAAUACGUAGGGCGCGAGCGUUGUCCGGAAUUAUUGGGCGUAUAGGGCUUGUAGGCGGCUUGUUGCGCCUGCUGUGAAAACGCGGGGCUUAACUUCGCGCGUGCAGUGGGUACGGGCAGGCUUGAGUGUGGUAGGGGUGACUGGAAUUCCAGGUGUAGCGGUGGAAUGCGCAGAUAUCUGGAGGAACACCGAUGGCGAAGGCAGGUCACUGGGCCAUUACUGACGCUGAGGAGCGAAAGCAUGGGUAGCGAACAGG
rnacentral:rRNA from 1 species